rnacentral:ncRNA from 1 species
UUUCCCCCAGGAUAGCUGGAGCUUGAUCAGUUUUAUCGGGUAAAGCGAAUGAUUAGAGGUUCGGGGGAUGAAACAUCCUUCACCUAUUCUCANACUUUAAAUAGGUAAGACGUGUCGGUUGCUUAACUGAACCGUCACAUUCAAUGUGAGCUCCAAGUGGGCCAUUUUUGGUAAGCAGAACUGGCGAUGCGGGANNNNNNN